UUAACAUGCAAGUCGAGCGGAAAGGCCCUUCGGGGUACUCGAGCGGCGAACGGGUGAGUAACACGUGAGCAACCUGCCCCAUGCUUUGGGAUAACCCUCGGAAACGGGGGCUAAUACCGAAUAUUCACUGAUGAUCGCAUGUUUGUUGGUGGAAAGUUUUUCGGCGUGGGAUGGGCUCGCGGCCUAUCAGCUUGUUGGUGGGGUAAUGGCCUACCAAGGCGACGACGGGUAGCCGGCCUGAGAGGGCGACCGGCCACACUGGGACUGAGACACGGCCCAGACUCCUACGGGAGGCAGCAGUGGGGAAUAUUGCACAAUGGGCGGAAGCCUGAUGCAGCGACGCCGCGUGAGGGAUGACGGCCUUCGGGUUGUAAACCUCUUUCAGCAGGGACGAAGCGCAAGUGACGGUACCUGCAGAAGAAGCGCCGGCCAACUACGUGCCAGCAGCCGCGGUAAGACGUAGGGCGCGAGCGUUGUCCGGAUUUAUUGGGCGUAAAGAGCUCGUAGGCGGCUUGUCGCGUCGACUGUGAAAACCCGCGGCUCAACCGCGGGCCUGCAGCCGAUACGGGCAGGCUAGAGUUCGGUAGGGGAGACUGGAAUUCCUGGUGUAGCGGUGAAAUGCGCAGAUAUCAGGAGGAACACCGAUGGCGAAGGCAGGUCUCUGGGCCGAUACUGACGCUGAGGAGCGAAAGCGUGGGGAGCGGACAGGAUUAGAUACCCUGGUAGUCCACGCUGUAAACGUUGGGCGCUAGGUGUGGGGGACCUCUCCGGUUCUCUGUGCCGCAGCUAACGCAUUAAGCGCCCCGCCUGGGGAGUACNGCCCCAAGGCUAAAACUCAAAGGAAUUGACGGGGGCCCCCACAAGCGGCGGAACAUGCNGAUUAAUUCGAUGCAACNCGAAAAACCUUACCUGGNUUUGACUUCC
rnacentral:rRNA from 1 species